AAACAGAAAACUUUCUGCUUAGAAAACAGCCUUCUCGGUGGGAGAGGAUGAACUGCCAUGUCUAAGAGAAAGACUUGCCCCCAAAUUUGUAGACUCACAUCCCCACUCAAAAUGAGAAAAUUAGAAAAGGAGGAUGGAGGACGAGCACACCAAAAAGGGAUAAAAAGAGAGAAAAGGGGAGGAAAAAAAACCUACCUGCGAAGUCUUGUUUGUAGUUUUGGCCAGAAAUGGUGAGAAGAAAAAGCAUGAAGAAGCCGCGAAGUGUGGGGGAGAAAAAGGUGGAAGCGAAGAAACAGCUCCCGGAGCAAACUGUACAAAAACCUCGCCAAGAGUGUCGGGAGGCAGGACCGUUAUUCCUGCAGAGCAGGAGAGAGACGAGAGACCCUGAAACACGCGCCACCUAUCUUUGUGGGGAGGGAUAAUUGAAGCGCCCUGAGCGUGAGCAUCAUGUGAAAACGUGAUCGCCAAGUUUCUCUCUGGGAAAGGAUCUGGGAUAGAUUAUACCUUGAAGUCUCCGCAAACGCUUUAGUGGAAGAAAUGAAAUUCCACCUCCCUCCCUUCC
rnacentral:antisense_RNA from 1 species